rnacentral:rRNA from 1 species
UGGCGGCAUGCCUUACACAUGCAAGUCGAACGGUAACGCGGGGCAACCUGGCGACGAGUGGCGAACGGGUGAGUAAAGUAUCGGAACGUGCCCAAUAGUGGGGGAUAGCCCGGCGAAAGCCGGAUUAAUACCGCAUGAGACCUGAGGGUGAAAGCGGGGGACUCGCAAGAGCCUCGCGCUAGUGGAGCGGCCGAUAUCAGAUUAGGUAGUUGGUGGGGUAAAGGCCUACCAAGCCGACGAUCUGUAGCUGGUCUGAGAGGACGACCAGCCACACUGGGACUGAGACACGGCCCAGACUCCUACGGGAGGCAGCAGUGGGGAAUUUUGGACAAUGGGCGCAAGCCUGAUCCAGCCAUGCCGCGUGCGGGAAGAAGGCCUUCGGGUUGUAAACCGCUUUUGUCAGGGAAGAAAUCCUUUGAACUAAUACUUCGGAGGGAUGACGGUACCUGAAGAAUAAGCACCGGCUAACUACGUGCCAGCAGCCGCGGUAAUACGUAGGGUGCAAGCGUUAAUCGGAAUUACUGGGCGUAAAGCGUGCGCAGGCGGUCUUGCAAGACAGGUGUGAAAUCCCCGGGCUCAACCUGGGAACUGCACUUGUGACUGCAAGGCUGGAGUACGGCAGAGGGGGAUGGAAUUCCGCGUGUAGCAGUGAAAUGCGUAGAUAUGCGGAGGAACACCGAUGGC